rnacentral:rRNA from 1 species
GUAGGUGAACCUGCGGAGGGAUCAUUACCGAGUUUACAACUCCCAAACCCCUGUGAACAUACCUUAAUGUUGCCUCGGCGGAUCAGCCCGCGCCCCGUAAAACGGGACGGCCCGCCAGAGGACCCAAACUCUAAUGUUUCUUAUUGUAACUUCUGAGUAAAACAAACAAAUAAAUCAAAACUUUCAACAACGGAUCUCUUGGUUCUGGCAUCGAUGAAGAACGCAGCAAAAUGCGAUAAGUAAUGUGAAUUGCAGAAUUCAGUGAAUCAUCGAAUCUUUGAACGCACAUUGCGCCCGCUGGUAUUCCGGCGGGCAUGCCUGUUCGAGCGUCAUUUCAACCCUCAAGCCCCCGGGUUUGGUGUUGGGGAUCGGCUCUGCCUUCUGGCGGUGCCGCCCCCGAAAUACAUUGGCGGUCUCGCUGCAGCCUCCAUUGCGUAGUAGCUAACACCUCGCAACUGGAACGCGGCGCGGCCAUGCCGUAAAACCCCAACUUCUGAAUGUUGACCUCGGAUCAGGUAGGAAUACCCGCUGAACUUAAGCAUAUCAAU